UACGGAGGGUGCGAGCGUUUGUCCGGAAUCAUUGGGCGUAAAGAGCUCGUAGGCGGUGUGUCGCGUCGGCCGUGAAAACCUGCAGCUUAACUGUGGGCUUGCGGUCGAUACGGGCAUCACUGGAGUUCGGCAGGGGAGACUGGAAUUCCUGGUGUAGCAGUGAAAUGCGUAGAUAUCAGGAGGAAUACCGAUGGCGAAGGCAGGUCGUCUGGGCUAUAACUGACGCUCAUGACACGAAAGGCG
rnacentral:rRNA from 1 species